UACGUAGGGUGCAAGCGUUGUCCGGAAUUAUUGGGCGUAAAGAGCUCGUAGGCGGUCUGUCGCGUCGGCUGUGAAAACUCGGGGCUCAACCCCGAGCCUGCAGUCGAUACGGGCAGACUAGAGUGCUGUAGGGGAGACUGGAAUUCCUGGUGUAGAGGUGAAAUUCGUAGAUAUCAGGAGGAACACCGGUGGCGAAGGCGGUUCUCUGGGCAUUACCUGACGCUGAGGAGCGAAAGUGUGGGGAGCGAACAGG
rnacentral:rRNA from 1 species